AAACAGUGUUUGUAUAUGAUUUCUGAUUGUCAAUGUGUUUUUGUCCAAACAUUCCCAUUAAGUCUUUAUCUUAACCAAGAAAUCAU